rnacentral:sRNA from 1 species
UCAAAACUGCAAAUAUUACCACAUGGUCCAAAGAUUCUUACCGAGCCAAGAGUCAGGAAACUCAAUGUUGGCUCCAUGCCCCCUCUUCCAGUGUCUAUUGAUGCCAACCCAUAUGCAUUAAAAAAGCUGGAUAGACUGAACUUUGCUCACUAUUUAAGGGCUUUUAGCCAUCUUCGUGUCAUUAAAAUUAUAAGCAAGAAAUUUAUAUUUUGAGAAAUUGUUACUAGCAUAAAAUUGUUAUUUUCUAGGGGAACUAAAAAUUUAUUUGUGGCGACUGAUGAAGUAGUCAAGAAGAAAAAGUUGACGUCUGCACAGGAAGUGUUAAACUUUAAAAACAAUCGAUUGUAUGACCAAUCUGUGAUCCCCAGAGAGAACAGUAAACAAAGAAGAUCAAAGGCAGCAAGAUUAAAAAUUCUAAGAAAUAGAAAGUGAAUAUAAAGCAAUGAAUACAAAGUUUGUAAGCAAAGGUUUUAACUUCAUUGUC